rnacentral:miRNA from 1 species
GGUCGCUGUGCACAGACCCUGGUGACCUGAAGCUCCCUGGCUGUCACUCUGUCCCAGCCCCCCCUGGCCCAGGGGACACAGCCUGAGUCCAAGCAAAGUCUGUGGGGUCCUGACCCUGGCGUCUGGCUGCCCCUGGAUGGC